rnacentral:rRNA from 1 species
UACGAAGGGGGCUAGCGUUACUCGGAUUGACUGGGCGUAAAGGGCGCGUAGGCGGUUUGUACAGUCAGACGUGAAAUUCCUGGGCUCAACCUGGGGGCUGCGUUUGAUACGUGCGGACUUGAGUUCGGAAGAGGGUCGUGGAAUUCCCAGUGUAGAGGUGAAAUUCGUAGAUAUUCGGAAGAACACCAGUGGCGAAGGCGGCCUGCUGGGCAGUAGCUGACACUGAGGCGCGACAGCGUGGGGAGCAAACAGG